UCCUUCGUGGUGUAAUGGUAGCACAAUCGGCGCGCAUUCGAGAGGUCCGGGUUCGAGUCCCAGCAAAGGCA
rnacentral:tRNA from 1 species